rnacentral:rRNA from 1 species
AAAUUGAAGAGUUUGAUCAUGGCUCAGAUUGAACGCUGGCGGCAGGCCUUACACAUGCAAGUCGAGCGGAAACGAGUUAUCUGAACCUUCGGGGGACGAUAGCGGCGUCGAGCGGCGGACGGGUGAGUAAUACCUAGGAAAUUGCCCUGAUGUGGGGGAUAACCAUUGGAAACGAUGGCUAAUACCGCAUGAUGCCUACGGGCCAAAGAGGGGGACCUUCGGGCCUCUCGCGUCAGGAUAUGCCUAGGUGGGAUUAGCU